rnacentral:rRNA from 1 species
CACGUAGGGCGCAAGCGUUGUCCGGAUUUACUGGGCGUAAAGGGCGUGCAGGCGGUCUGUUAAGUGCAGGGUGAAAGCUCCCGGCUCAACUGGGAGAGGUCCUUGCAUACUGGCGGACUUGAGGGGGGUAGAGGAAAGUGGAAUUCCCGGUGUAGUGGUGAUAUGCGUAGAUAUCGGGAGGAACACCUGUGGCGAAGGCGGCUUUCUGGGCCCUACCUGACGCUGAGACGCGAAAGCGUGGGGAGCGAACCGG